AUUGAACGCUGGCGGCAGGCCUAACACAUGCAAGUCGAACGAGUGGCGGACGGGUGAGUACUGUCUGGGAAACUGCCCGAUGGAGGGGGAUAACUACUGGAAACGGUAGCUAAUACCGCAUACCAUCGGAUGUGCCCAGAUGGGAUUAGCUAGUAGGUGGGGUAACGGCUCACCUAGGCGACGAUCCCUAGCUGGUCUGAGAGGAUGACCAGCCACAAUAGAACGGAGACACGGUCACGUCUCGUCCGGGAGUCAGCGGUGGGGAAUAGUGCACAAUGGGCGCAAGCCUGAUGCGGCCAUGCCGCGUGUGUGAAGAAGGCCUGCGGGUUGUAAAGUACUGGCAGCGAGGAGGCGUUACGCGCAGAAGAAGCACCGGCUAACUCCGUGCCAGCAGCCGCGGUAAUAC
rnacentral:rRNA from 1 species